rnacentral:rRNA from 1 species
UACAGAGGUCUCAAGCGUUUGUUCGGAUUCAUUGGGCGUAAAGGGUGCGUAGGCGGCGCGGUAAGUCGGGUGUGAAAUCUCGGGGCUUAACUCCGAAACUGCAUUCGAUACUGCCGUGCUUGAGGACUGGAGAGGAGACUGGAAAUUUACGGUGUAGCGGUGAAAUGCGUAGAUAUCGAUAAGGAAGACCAGUGGCGGAAGGCGGG